AUUGAACGCUGGCGGCAGGCCUAACACAUGCAAGUCGAGCGGAUGAAGGGAGCUGGCUCCUGGAUUCAGCGGCGGACGGGUGAGUAAUGCCUAGGAAUCUGCCUGGUAGUGGGGGAUAACGUCCGGAAACGGGCGCUAAUACCGCAUACGUCCUGAGGGAGAAAGUGGGGGAUCUUCGGACCUCACGCUAUCAGAUGAGCCUAGGUCGGAUUAGCUAGUUGGUGGGGUAAAGGCCUACCAAGGCGACGAUCCGUAACUGGUCUGAGAGGAUGAUCAGUCACACUGGAACUGAGACACGGUCCAGACUCCUACGGGAGGCAGCAGUGGGGAAUAUUGGACAAUGGGCGAAAGCCUGAUCCAGCCAUGCCGCGUGUGGGAAGAAGGUCUUCGGAUUGUAAAGCACUUUAAGUUGGGAGGAAGGGCAGUAAGCUAAUACAGGGCUGUUUUGACGUUACCAACAGAAUAAGCACCGGCUAACUUCGUG
rnacentral:rRNA from 1 species